UUACUUACCUGGACGGGGUCAAUGGGCGAUCAUAAAGGCCCAUGGCCUAGACUUGUGGCCUCCAUUGCACUUGGGAGGUGCACCUGUCUAAGGUCUCCUCUUAGUAGGAGAGCCUACGUCAUAAUUUGUGGCAGUGGGGGCCUGCGUUCGCGCGGCCCCUGC
rfam:Corchorus olitorius cultivar O-4 contig17502, whole genome shotgun sequence.